AGUUAAUGAACUUGUAUAAGUAUAUGUUUUGAAAGCAUAAUAAAGAGUUAAAUUCUCUAUUAACUU
rnacentral:tRNA from 1 species